AGGUAAGUGCUUGAAAAUAGGAAGGGUAAAGGUUCACUUGACACGGUAGAGGUCUGGGGUUCGAGUCCCCACGGGCCUACCA
rnacentral:tRNA from 1 species